GACGAACGCUGGUGGCGUGCUUAACACAUGCAAGUCGAACGCGCCUGUCCUCUGGGUUUCUGGGGGGUGGGUGAGUGGCGAACGGGUGAGUAACACGUGAGUAACCUGCCCCCUUCUUCGGGAUAACGGUCUGAAAGGGCUGCUAAUACCGGGUAUUCACUGGUCUCCGCAUGGGGUCUGGUGGAAAGGUUUUUUUCUGGUGGGGGAUGGGCUCGCGGCCUAUCAGCUUGUUGGUGGGGUGAUGGCCCACCAAGGCUUUGACGGGUAGCCGGCCUGAGAGGGUGACCGGUCACAUUGGGACUGAGAUACGGCCCAGACUCCUACGGGAGGCAGCAGUGGGGAAUAUUGCACAAUGGGCGCAAGCCUGAUGCAGCGACGCCGCGUGAGGGAUGGAGGCCUUCGGGUUGUGAACCUCUUUCGCCCGUGGUCAAGCCGCGACGUGGGUCGUGGUGAGGGUAGUGGGUAAAGAAGCGCCGGCUAACUACGUG
rnacentral:rRNA from 1 species